rnacentral:rRNA from 1 species
CCUACGGGGGGCUGCAGUGGGGAAUAUUGCACAAUGGGCGCAAGCCUGAUGCAGCCAUGCCGCGUGUGUGAAGAAGGCCUUCGGGUUGUAAAGCACUUUCAGCGGGGAGGAAGGCGGUGAGGUUAAUAACCUCAUCGAUUGACGUUACCCGCAGAAGAAGCACCGGCUAACUCCGUGCCAGCAGCCGCAGUAAUACGGAGGGUGCAAGCGUUAAUCGGAAUUACUGGGCGUAAAGCGCACGCAGGCGGUCUGUCAAGUCGGAUGUGAAAUCCCCGGGCUCAACCUGGGAACUGCAUUCGAAACUGGCAGGCUAGAGUCUUGUAGAGGGGGGUAGAAUUCCAGGUGUAGCGGUGAAAUGCGUAGAGAUCUGGAGGAAUACCGGUGGCGAAGGCGGCCCCCUGGACAAAGACUGACGCUCAGGUGCGAAAGCGUGGGGAGCAAACAGGAUUAGAUACCCCUGUAGUC